rnacentral:rRNA from 1 species
AUUGAACGCUGGCGGCAGGCCUAACACAUGCAAGUCGAGCGGGGUUUUCGGACCUAGCGGCGGACGGGUGAGUAAUGCGUAGGAAGCUGCCCGAUAGAGGGGGAUACCAGUUGGAAACGACGGGUAAUACCGCAUAAUGUCUACGGACCAAAGUGUGGGACCUUCGGGCCACAUGCUAUCGGAUGCGCCUACGUGGGAUUAGCUAGUUGGUGAGGUAAUGGCUCCCCAAGGCGACGAUCUCUAGCUGGUUUGAGAGGAUGAUCAGCCACACUGGAACUGAGACACGGUCCAGACUCCUACGGGAGGCAGCAGUGGGGAAUAUUGGACAAUGGGCGCAAGCCUGAUCCAGCCAUGCCGCGUGUGUGAAGAAGGCCUUCGGGUUGUAAAGCACUUUCAGCGAGGAGGAAGGGUGGUGUGUUAAUAGCACAUCAUUUUGACGUUACUCGCAGAAGAAGCACCGGCUAACUCUGUGCCAGCCGCCGCCGUAA